rnacentral:rRNA from 1 species
CCUACGGGUGGCUGCAGUGAGGAAUAUUGGUCAAUGGGCGCGAGCCUGAACCAGCCAAGUAGCGUGAAGGAUGACUGCCCUACGGGUUGUAAACUUCUUUUAUAAGGGAAUAAAGUUAGGCACGUGUGCCUUUUUGUAUGUACUUUAUGAAUAAGGAUCGGCUAACUCCGUGCCAGCAGCCGCGGUAAUACGGAGGAUCCGAGCGUUAUCCGGAUUUAUUGGGUUUAAAGGGAGCGUAGAUGGGUUGUUAAGUCAGUUGGGAAAGUUUGCGGCUCAACCGUAAAAUUGCAAUUGAUACUGGCAGCCUUGAGUACAGACGAGGUAGGCGGAAUUCGUGGUGUAGCGGUGAAAUGCUUAGAUAUAACGAAGAACCCCGAUUGCGAAGGCAGCUUACCAAACUGCUACUGACACUGAUGCUCGAAAGUGUGGGUAUCAAACAGGAUUAGAUACCCGGGUAGUC